rnacentral:tRNA from 1 species
GGGGAUAUGGCUCAUUGGUACAGCACUUGCCUAACAUGCAAGAGGCCCUGGGUUCAAUCCCAAGCGCCA